ACGAACGCUGGCGGCGCGCCUAACACAUGCAAGUCGAACGAGCGAGAGAGAGCUUGCUUUCUCGAGCGAGUGGCGAACGGGUGAGUAACGCGUGAGGAACCUGCCUCAAAGAGGGGGACAACAGUUGGAAACGACUGCUAAUACCGCAUAAGCCCACAGGUCGGCAUCGACCAGAGGGAAAAGGAGCAAUCCGCUUUGAGAUGGCCUCGCGUCCGAUUAGCUAGUUGGUGAGGUAACGGCCCACCAAGGCAACGAUCGGUAGCCGGACUGAGAGGUUGAACGGCCACAUUGGGACUGAGACACGGCCCAGACUCCUACGGGAGGCAGCAGUGGGGAAUAUUGCACAAUGGGGGAAACCCUGAUGCAGCGACGCCGCGUGGAGGAAGAAGGUCUUCGGAUUGUAAACUCCUGUUGUUGAGGAAGAUAAUGACGGUACUCAACAAGGAAGUGACGGCUAACUACGUGCCAGCAGCCGCGGUAAAACGUAGGUCACAAGCGUUGUCCGGAAUUACUGGGUGUAAAGGGAGCGCAGGCGGGAAGACAAGUUGGAAGUGAAAUCUAUGGGCUCAACCCAUAAACUGCUUUCAAAACUGUUUUUCUUGAGUAGUGCAGAGGUAGGCGGAAUUCCCGGUGUAGCGGUGGAAUGCGUAGAUAUCGGGAGGAACACCAGUGGCGAAGGCGGCCUACUGGGCACCAACUGACGCUGAGGCUCGAAAGUGUGGGUAGCAAACAGGAUUAGAUACCCUGGUAGUCCACGCCGUAAACGAUGAUUACUAGGUGUUGGAGGAUUGACCCCUUCAGUGCCGCAGUUAACACAAUAAGUAAUCCACCUGGGGAGUACGACCGCAAGGUUGAAACUCAAAGGAAUUGACGGGGGCCCGCACAAGCAGUGGAGUAUGUGGUUUAAUUCGACGCAACGCGAAGAACCUUACCAGGGCUUGACAUAUAGAUGAAUAUAUAAGAGAUUAUAUAGCUUUUCGGAGCAUCUAUACAGGUGGUGCAUGGUUGUCGUCAGCUCGUGUCGUGAGAUGUUGGGUUAAGUCCCGCAACGAGCGCAACCCCUGUUUCUAGUUGCCAGCAUGUAAAGAUGGGAACUCUAGAAAGACUGCCGUAGAUAAUACGGAGGAAGGUGGGGAUGACGUCAAAUCAUCAUGCCCUUUAUGACUUGGGCUACACACGUACUACAAUGGCGUUAAACAAAGAGAAGCAAGACCGCGAGGUGGAGCAAAACUCAGAAACAACGUCCCAGUUCGGACUGCAGGCUGCAACUCGCCUGCACGAAGUCGGAAUUGCUAGUAAUCGUGGAUCAGCAUGCCACGGUGAAUACGUUCCCGGGCCUUGUACACACCGCCCGUCACACCAUGAGAGUUGGGGAUACCCGAAGCCUGUGAGCCAACAGUUAAAUGGGGCAGCAGUCGAAGGUAGAAUCAAUGAUUGGGGUG
rnacentral:rRNA from 1 species